rnacentral:rRNA from 1 species
UUAAUUCCGAUAACGAACGAGACUCUGGCCUACUAAAUAGUGAGCCGAUUCCGUCGGUCGGCUGGCACUUCUUAGAGGGACAAGCGGCGGCUAGCCGCACGAGAUUGAGCAAUAACAGGUCUGUGAUGCCCUUAGAUGUCCGGGGCUGCACGCGCGCUACACUGAAGGAAUCAGCGUGCAUUUUGCCUUGUCUGGAAGGACUGGGUAACCCGAUGAACCUCCUUCGUGCUAGGGAUAGGGAAUUGCAAUUAUUUCCCUUGAACGAGGAAUUCCCAGUAAGCGCGAGUCAUAAGCUCGUGUUGAUCACGU